rnacentral:rRNA from 1 species
GGAUUGACACAUCGGUCGUGCCUUAAGGGGUAUGAACUGGUGUAGUCAAUUUCUCACCUUCUGGAGAACCACGAUGCCCUUAAUUGGGUGUCGCGGGGAACCAGGACCUUUACUUUGAAAAUUAGAGUGUUUAAAGCAGGCAUUUUGCUUGAAUACAUUAGCAUGGAAUAAUAAAUAGGACGGCAUGAUUCUAUUUUGUUGGUUUCUAGGAUCACCGUAAUGAUUAAUAGGGAUAGUUGGG